rnacentral:rRNA from 1 species
GACGUAGGGCGCGAGCGUUGUCCGGAUUUAUUGGGCGUAAAGAGCUCGUAGGCGGCUUGUCGCGUCGAAUGUGAAAUCUCAGGGCUCAACUCUGACAUUGCAUUCGAUACGGGCAGGCUAGAGUUCGGUAGGGGAGACUGGAAUUCCUGGUGUAGCGGUGAAAUGCGCAGAUAUCAGGAGGAACACCGGUGGCGAAGGCGGGUCUCUGGGCCGAUACUGACGCUGAGGAGCGGAAGCGUGGGGAGCGAACAGG